rnacentral:rRNA from 1 species
UACGGAGGGUGCUAGCGUUGUUCGGAAUUACUGGGCGUAAAGCGCGCGUAGGCGGCUUUGUAAGUUAGAGGUGAAAGCCCGGGGCUCACCCCCGGAACUGCCUUUAAGACUGCAUCGCUUGAGUCCAGGAGAGGUGAGUGGAAUUCCGAGUGUAGAGGUGAAAUGCGUAGAUAUUCGGAGGAACACCAGUGGCGAAGGCGGCUCACUGGACCGUAACUGACGCUCAUGCACGAUAGCGUGGGGAGCAAACAGG